CUCUUUCUGGUUCCUUCGAAAGGACUUAGUCGGUGCUGCUUUAGAAAUUUGACUCCAUGUAUAGUUUUUUUUAUUUUUAUUUUUCUCCCUCUUGAUUUACUUGGGUUGUUAGUGUUUGAGUUCAUAUGUAAGGUUAUAGUUGGAAUGGAGAGUGCAAGCUCCCUAUGGUGCAAGUAAUGAAAAUGAAGGUUGGAGCUCAUAUCCUAACCAACACCAACAUUAUGAGCAUUAAAGUCCA
rnacentral:lncRNA from 1 species